UGCGCAAUGGGCGAAAGCCUGACGCAGCGACGCCGCGUGAGCGAUGAAGGCCUUCGGGUUGUAAAGCUCUGUGGGGAGGAAAGAAUAAGGUUUGGCUAACAUCCAAAUUGAUGACGGUACCUCCUUAGCAAGCACCGGCUAACUCUGUGCCAGCAGCCGCGGUAAGACAGAGGGUGCAAACGUUGUUCGGAAUUACUGGGCGUAAAGCGCGUGUAGGCGGCCCUGCAAGUCGGAUGUGAAAUCCCACGGCUCAACCGUGGAAGUGCAUUCGAAACUGCAGGGCUAGAGUCCUGGAGAGGAAGGUGGAAUGCUUGGUGUAGAGGUGAAAUUCGUAGAUAUCAAGCGGAACACCGGUGGCGAAGGCGGCCUUCUGGACAGUGACUGACGCUGAGACGCGAAAGCGUGGGGAGCAAACAGGAUUAGAUACCCUGGUAGUCCACGCCGUAAACGAUGAGUGCUAGGUGUCACGGGCUUUGACCCUCGUGGUGCCGAAGCUAACGCGUUAAGCACUCCGCCUGGGGAGUACGGUCGCAAGACUAAAACUCAAAGGAAUUGACGG
rnacentral:rRNA from 1 species